rnacentral:rRNA from 1 species
GACGAACGCUGGCGGCGUGCUUAACACAUGCAAGUCGAACGGUGAUGCUCCAGCUUGCUGGAGUGGAUCAGUGGCGAACGGGUGAGUAACACGUGAGCAACCUGCCCCAGACUCUGGAAUAAGCGCUGGAAACGGCGUAUAAUACUGGAUACGAAACUGGCCCGCAUGGGCAUGGUUUGGAAAGUUUUUCGGUUUGGGAUGGGCUCGCGGCCUAUCAGCUUGUUGGUGAGGUAAUGGCUCACCAAGGCGACGACGGGUAGCCGGCCUGAGAGGGCGACCGGCCACACUGGGACUGAGACACGGCCCAGACUCCUACGGGAGGCAGCAGUGGGGAAUAUUGCACAAUGGGCGAAAGCCUGAUGCAGCGACGCCGCGUGAGGGAUGACGGCCUUCGGGUUGUAAACCUCUUUCAGCAGGGAAGAAGCGAAAGUGACGGUACCUGCAGAAGAAGCACCGGCUAACUACGUG